rnacentral:lncRNA from 1 species
CAUUUGCCUCCUGUCACGCGUGCGCUCUCCAGUCAGAAGCUUCCAGGGCAGAUCGAAGCCAUGGCAGCCACCUCUCCUUCUCACGGCACCACUGGGUCCCCAUCUCCAUGUGUGUGAGGAGCAGCUCCAGUCUGGGCACCGUGGAGGAGGAAGGCCAAGCUGAAGGCUAAGAGGGUUCACUUCUCCAGAAGCUCCUCUGCAGGCACCGUCCAGAGAGAGGUCUAUGUCCCAUGGACUGGAGCUGUCCCCUGGCUGGAGGAGGGUUUUUAGCUGGGUCCGUGGCUGCUGCCCUGUGCCCCAAAGGGAGGAGUAGAGAUGAGCAUCAGCCAUAAGCAACGCUAACACAGUCCCUCUAAGAACAUCGGCAUGUGCAUUUCAGUUGUAGGCAUUCUCUGUAUACUCAGGAGACUAAGCCCUCCCUGCAGAUGUGAUUUGCACUUACUUUCAUGCCUUGGAGAAGACAGAAGAGUGGAGAAGCACCUGAGGCCUGUGUGGUGAGAGAAUGGUGGUCCCUGCACAAAGCGGUGAAGGACCGAUGGAGGAGCGGCAGCACUGGUGAGGCCAGAGACGCUGCCUGGGACCCUGUGGAUGGUACAGGGGAAGCUGAGGGAGGAAGACACGGG